ACAGGUGCUGCAUGGCUGUCGUCAGCUCGUGUCGUGGGAGUGUUGGGUUAAGUCCCGCAACGAGCGCAACCCUUGCCUUUAGUUGCCAGCAGUUCGGCUGGGCACUCUAAAGGGACUGCCGGUGUUAAACCGGAGGAAGGUGGGGAUGACGUCAAGUCCUCAUGGCCUUUAUGACCAGGGCGUACACACGUACUACAAUGGCCGAUACAAAGGGCAGCGACACUGCGAGGUGAAGCCAAUCCCGUAAAAUCGGUCUCAGUCCGGAUUGGAGUCUGCAACUCGACUCCAUGAAGUUGGAAUCGCUAGUAAUCGUGGAUCAGCAUGCCACGGUGAAUACGUUCCCGGGCCUU
rnacentral:rRNA from 1 species